UACGGAAGGUCCGGGCGUUAUCCGGAUUUAUUGGGUUUAAAGGGAGCGCAGGCGGGCUUUUAAGCGUGACGUGAAAUGUCCCGGCUCAACCGGGGAGUUGCGUCGCGAACUGGGGGCCUUGAGUGGGUACGACGUUUGCGGAAUUCGUGGUGUAGCGGUGAAAUGCUUAGAUAUCACGAAGAACUCCGAUUGCGAAGGCAGCAGACGAGUCCCUAACUGACGCUAAUGCUCGAAAGUGCGGGUAUCGAAC
rnacentral:rRNA from 1 species